rnacentral:rRNA from 1 species
UUUAUUAAAACUUAAAUAAUUUGGCGGUAUUUUAGUUUAUUUAGAGGAAUCUGUUUAAUAAUUGAUAUACCACGAAUAAAUUUACUUAAUUUAUAAUUUUGUAUAUCGUCAUUAUAAAAAUAUUUUUUAAUAAAAUUAAUAUUUAAAAAUUAUUAUAUUAAUUUAAAUUAGAUCAAGAUGUAGAUUAUAGUUAAGAAUAUAAUGGAUUACAAUAAAAUUAUUUAAAUGAAUAUUAAUUUGUAAAAGUUAAUUGAAGGUGGAUUUAAAUGUAAUUUUAUUUAAUUAAAUAAAAUGAUUUAAUAUUAAAAUAUGU